CUAAAAAUUGGCGGUUAUAAUAACUUAGAGAAACUUGUUUUAUAAUCGACAUUACCCGAUAAUUUUUACUUAAUAAAUUAUAGUUUAUAUACCGCCGUUUACUUAGAAACAAUAAAAACAAAAAUUCACAAUCAAAAACCUAUAAAAAUCAGGUCAAGGUGUAAUCUUUUUUUAAGAAAAAAUAAGUUACAUUUAAAUAUAAUUUAAGGAAUUAAAAUUUAAAUUUUAAAAGAAAAAGAAUCUACAAUUAAUUUUAAAUUAAAAAUUUAAAUAGAAAACAAUUAUUAUGAUGC
rnacentral:rRNA from 1 species